rnacentral:rRNA from 1 species
AGUGAACGCUGGCGGUAGGCCUAACACAUGCAAGUCGAACGGCAGCACAGUAAGAGCUUGCUCUUACGGGUGGCGAGUGGCGGACGGGUGAGGAAUACAUCGGAAUCUACUUUUUCGUGGGGGAUAACGUAGGGAAACUUACGCUAAUACCGCAUACGACCUACGGGUGAAAGCAGGGGAUCUUCGGACCUUGCGCGAUUGAAUGAGCCGAUGUCGGGUUAGCUAGUUGGCGGGGUAAAGGCCCACCAAGGCGACGAUCCGUGGCUGGUCUGAGAGGAUGAGGAGGCACAGUGGGAGUGAGACGCGGCACAGCCGACGACGAGAGGAAGCAGUGGGGAAUAGUGGAGAAGGGCGGCAAGCCUGAUACACCCAUACCGCGGGGGUGAAGAAGGCCUGCUGGUUGUAAAGCCCUUUUGUUGGUAAAGAAAAGCAGCAGGCUAAUACCCCGCUGUUCUGACGGGACACAAAGACUAAGAACCGGCUACCUUCG